UACAGAGGUCUCAAGCGUUGUUCGGAUUCAUUGGGCGUAAAGGGUGCGUAGGCGGCGCGGUAAGUCGGGUGUGAAAUCUCGGAGCUUAACUCCGAAACUGCAUUCGAUACUGCCGUGCUUGAGGACUGGAGAGGAGACUGGAAUUUACGGUGUAGCGGUGAAAUGCGUAGAUAUCGUAAGGAAGACCAGUGGCGAAGGCGGGUCUCUGGGAUGAUGCUGACGCUGAGGCGCGAAAGCCAGGGGAGCAAACGGG
rnacentral:rRNA from 1 species